UAGAGAGUACCGAAUAGUGGAAAACGUGAUUAACUAAUAUUAGCAUAAAAGUGACAACAAGGCCAUAUGCUCACCCACUGAAGGCAACCUGUGUAACUUAUGUUGUUCUUUGCAAUCCGAACAAAGACGAUUACCGUGGAUUAACGUGCUGGGAACACCUUGCUGAUAAAUCUAAAUCAAAAUGGUGAAAGAUAUCUGUAAAGAAUGCAGGAACGGUGUUCACGCCUGCGGCAGCGAACCAAAGCAGGGCGAACAAUACCGACCCCCACCCCCGUGUCACCAUGGACACAACAGGGAGGACACAGUGGCCGCCCCUAACACCGACAAAAAAGUCAACACGUGGGGCUCAUUCAAAAACAAGGACAACUUCUUAGAACUCCAUUUUCGAUGAAUGAAUAAAACUUUUUUUUCUAAAGGUUGCCAUGCAAUAUGUUUAGAAAUGCCUGAUUGAAAUGUGACAGAAGAAUAUAUAUAACUUUUUUUGUUGGAGAAGUGUCAUAGUUGAUGUAUAUAUAUCUCGAGUCAAAUUACAGUACCUCAAUUUACGGGUGUAUUUAAAGUUUGUGUGUAAAUGUAUUUUAACAUUCAAUGCAAUGAUGUCUAUUUCGUACAUUUUUUAUGUACAGCGUGUUAGGGUGGGUACGGGUGUGUGUGUGUGAUUGUGUGGGCGUAAUUUUUUGGAAGUAGAGUUUAUUUAAUCAAUAUUUAGAAAUGGGAUGAGAGAAUCCAAAGUGUUCAUUUUAAGUAAUUUUACAAGCUUUUUGCAGAAAUAAUGUACCAUGUAUUAUUUGCAUAAAAAUUAAUUUGAUUUUG